GACGAACGCUGGCGGCGUGCUUAACACAUGCAAGUCGAACGGAAAGGCCCUGCUUGCAGGGUGCUCGAGUGGCGAACGGGUGAGUAACACGUGGGUGAUCUGCCCCUUACUUUGGGAUAAGCCUGGGAAACUGGGUCUAAUACUGGAUAGGACCAUGCUGUAGGUGGUGUGGUGGAAAGAUUAGUUUCGGUAAGGGAUGAGCUCGCGGCCUAUCAGCUUGUUGGUGGGGUAAUGGCCUACCAAGGCGUCGACGGGUAGCCGGCCUGAGAGGGUGGACGGCCACAUUGGGACUGAGAAACGGCCCAGACUCCUACGGGAGGCAGCAGUGGGGAAUAUUGCACAAUGGGCGCAAGCCUGAUGCAGCGACGCCGCGUGGGGGAUGACGGCCUUCGGGUUGUAAACUCCUUUCAGCCAUGACGAAGCCCUUGUGGUGACGGUAGUGGUAGAAGAAGCACCGGCUAACUACGUG
rnacentral:rRNA from 1 species